AUGGUCACUCCACUUAGAGCCAGUGGAAGCUUUCCUGUUUCUGAGCUCACAAGCCAGAUGCCUGUAUUCGUGUGUGCUUACCACACACUGACUCAUAGCACUUUAACUGCAGGGGCUGUAGCUGGGAAGCAGGCCACAUCAACAACCCAGCACCAUCAGGACAUUCAACACAGGCAGAAGAGAGUGGGGCUCUUGGUGGCCACAGCAGCAUCUGGCUGAGUGUGAGAUCUACCAAAAGUGAGUGCAUCCCCACAGGAAGACCUGGGACAUGCUGCUGUAAGCCUUCUGGAAAUAGCCAGUCACCUGGGAGAAGGCCAGGUGAUUGGCUGUAGCCUAAGCUCCCACACGCAAACCUGCCCUCCUCUGAGUUGUGCAGCUGUAGUUGUGCCUGAACAGAGAACACCAGAACCUGCACCCUAAGACUUGUCUGAAUCGCCAGACCAGGACCACACAGAAAGAGGGGUAACCAUCAGAGGCUGCUAGACAAGAUCCUUCCAUUCUGGUGAAAGCUUCCUAAUGAUCACUACACAGAAGUCAAUCCUGACUUGAAUCCUACCACCAAACACUUAAACUCUUCCACAGCUCCAGAUUGCUUAGGGGGAAAUGCAGGGUACCUUCCCCCUGCAACACAGAUGCUAAGCACUCCUCUAUCUAGUACCUCUUUCCUAGCUUACUGAGCUAACCUCCAAGCCUCAGGUCAUCCCAUCUCCUCCUACCUGGCCUUUCCCUACCACAUAAGCCCUGAUUUACCUCCACAACUCAGCUCAGGCAGCCCCUCCUGGAAAUCACUCUUGACUCUCCCCCUGGCCUCCAGACCUAGACAGAUCCCUUCCAUUCCUUCCUGUUGCUAUGUUCUAUCCUCUGAAUAAGGGUGUAUUUGACAAGAAGGUCCAAAUCAAGACUGAAAUAAAGUUUAAUUACCUGUGAUUAUGAAUUAUUGAUCUAGUAGUCUAGUGUUUUACAAAAUGGGCUUUUUUGGUCCCUAGGAGAUGUAAGUUCUAGAACACUGUAAUGCAUUUCACUCUUAAUUAUAAUCUAAAAAUAUAUUUUAUCAGUUUUAAAGACUUCUGCCACA
rnacentral:lncRNA from 1 species